rnacentral:rRNA from 1 species
ACUUGUGUGCGUGCGUGAGUUUCGGCCUCGCUGUUUGCAUGUUUGUGCGUUUUGGGUGUACUUUUUCGUAUGGUAGGCCAACGUCAGUUUCGAUUAUCAUAAAAUGACCGGCGGAAUGUAGCUUCGAUUUCGGUUGAAGUGUUAUAGCCUCUGGUAGAUGUGGUGAUUGAGACUGAGGAUUGCAACGAAUAUCCUUUGGGCUAUCCGUCUGGCCUCUGAAAGUUGCUCAGGUGCCGAAAGCGUGCUUACGGUCAUCUAAGAUAACGUUCAACAGGUUAGAACGUGAUUACAUUCGUUAAGGAUGUUGACGUA